rnacentral:tRNA from 3 species
GGGCUCGUAGCUCAGCUGGUCAGAGCGCACGCCUGAUAAGCGUGAGGUCGGUGGUUCGAGUCCACCCGAGCCCA